UCAGCGUGGGCCCUCCAGGCCUUUGGAUCCAUGGCCCCGCCAAACCACCUGGAUUAUCUUCCUGUCGGAGGGCUCCCACCCGCAGAAAUACGAUGCCAUCCUGCUGUGCACAAGCGGCGACAGGCAGUCCCCAUUUGGCCAUGCUGCUGAUCUGGCCUGCCACAGGAAUCCAGGCUCCCACUGUCUCUCAAGCCAAGACAACAGGUCCCAACAAGCAAAGCCUCCGAGUUCCCGCAAGAGGCGGCUUCACACGGAUUAGAAGCCUCUGCGCAGUGCGGGUGUACAAAGCAGCAGACGCCUGACUUCCCCCAAGAGCAGGCAACCGUGACCCGGGCACUUCCGACCCUGGUCCUGGCCAAAUACGGGUCCCCGCUGGUCCAUAAUCCCCCUGGUUCCAGAACACUGAGCGGAACCGCAUGCGCAAUGCACUUCCGGCUCGAGGCCCGAGGCUGCGCCACCGCCUGGAUCAACCGUGCCUCCCACGCGUCUCUCCUGGAGGAUUCCCUACAGCAGCUCCGCCCUGCCUAGCGGAGGAGGCUAGAUGUUCAAGCUCUCCCCAGAUCUACCUUCGGGGUGAACAGGCUGCGUUGGUGAGGGUAUGGCUUGGAAUUAGUUAAAUCCUUGGGUCCACAACAGCCUCACCAGUUUUGUCUCUCACAACCUUUGAACUGUUGGAGAUCCGGGCUCGGAACCCUGGGAACACGCGUGCGCAGUAUGUGCCUGUUCAGCCGCCCUGGGGGCCGUGGACGGUCUAACCACCUGAAUAUCCGCCUGGGUGCAGGGGGCCUCCCUCCCAAUAUGACCUAAUGAUGCACCUGCAAAGGCACUAUGGCAAGGCAGUGUAUGCCUCCUCUUCUUGGGAAGUUCUCAUGGCAGUGAUGGGACUUGAAGAAGACAUCUGACAGCUUCAGGGACAAGGAGAAACACAGACAUCAUUACCUGCAGACCCCUUGAGUUUUCUUCCGGUUUCUGAGGGCUGUGGGAUUCGGGACGGGAAGCAUCUGAAAGACGAUUUCAGAGGAAGCAGAUGACACUUGCACGGGACUGCAUUUUGGUCU